rnacentral:lncRNA from 1 species
AAACAGGUUGGCUUCGUUUUACACCAAGAGGGGGGGGUGAAUUGGUGUUAGUUCAAAUUUAAAAUCUUUUCGCAAUCUUGGUAUGAAAGUUCAAAGCUUUUGAUCUUUCCUUGAAAUGCAAGUUAUUGAAAAAUGUAAUGCAGCGGAAAAACGUAGUUGACUGCUAGACAGAUAUAGUCGACUGAAUUAAAAGAGUGCAGGGAUAGAAAAAUCAAACACUGAUUUUUAUACUGGUUCGGCCAGCAAUGCCUACAUCCAGUGUCCUUCCAACCUUGGAAGGAAAUGUACUAUAAUGGUUGCGAUUUUUACAACAAGGAAUUUAUAGAAGCACCACGCAAAAACAUAAAUCUCCCCUCUAACCCAAAACCAAAUAUAGCUGCACACAAAAACCAGAAUUGCAGCAAGAAUCCCAUCUCCUACAAUAUGCACCCACGUUGAACAAUUCUCAACGUGUCACCAACAUUCUUUACAGGAUGCCAAGCCUAUCACAACACGCUUCAUAGGUUUCCAAGCCUAUCACAGCAUGUAACACCCCGAUUUUUGAGAUGUAUGUCAUUUCCUUCUACUGUGUCGUCAUAACCUGUUAUCACUAACAGGAACCUGUUCUGCAAAACAGGACAAUUUGAGUCGUCUUCCAUCGCAACUUCCGACCUAUCUCCCCAACUUCUCAAGGAAUUACGAGUAAAAAUUUCGGUUAGGCGCACCCACCGAGCACUAUACUUACACGAGCCGAAGUCAUUUUGGGCGAGACAUCCGCCUCCCCCGCAGCGGGAAGUGACACUCGAAUCACUAUCUCUAAACGAAAGCCCAACACAUUAUUACCGUACCACAAUACGGAAAGUUCAUCCAUGAUCGAUGACAGUACAAGGAAAUAACAUAGUUUCAUAUUUACAUCACAAUUUCAUUAACAUUCUCAACAUCAUGU